GGAUCUUUAGCUCAGUUGGUUAGAGCAACCGGCUCAUAACCGGUAGGCCCGGGGUUCGAGUCCCUGAAGGUCCACCA
rnacentral:tRNA from 1 species